GUUUGAGAAGGCUAUGUGACCAUUUGGAAUAUGGGCACUCACAUGUAUUUCUUGUUGCAUCCACACACAUCCACAUGUUGGACAAUCAUUGUUCAAGAUGCACAAGAAAGGUCCAGUGGCUGAAGCAUCAACACCCUACAGAUAGAUACAAUAAGCCACUAUCUGAAUUAUACUUGAUUGCACCUUUAAAGGGAGCUCUUGAUGAAUGCAUAGCAACAUGGUUAAAGGCUGUAGUGACCAAAUUAAUCAAGCGCAGUGUAUAUAGUAGUCUCUUGUAUGCAGUGUGUUCCAUCUUUCAAAAUGGGGUUGUGAAUGUGCAUUUCUAUACCAUUGCAUCCUUGCUUCAUAGUAACUGUCACACGUGAAAUAAUAAGGCUUUCAUUUUUUAUAAGUCGUGCAUACUAAAAAAUAUGGCAAGGUUAAAUUCUUGUUGACAGAAACAUGUUGAUGCUUAAUAACAAAUCAUUUCAGGUUCAGAAGACUUAAAUGAAUGCUUGCAACUGAUGGACGCCAUUGCUUUCUGAAAUAUUUUGAAACUUCAAAUGAAGGUGAAUAGGAAGAAGAUGAUGAAGCAUCUCUCAAAGGGAAGCAUCAAGGUUGCCUAAGGAAAAGCUGGAGUCAUCAUCAAAAAAUGACAUCCUGGAGACAUCUGGGAAAGAAAAAAGAAGCAAGGAAUGUGCACGUAGGUAAGGGCCACCACAUAAGCAUGCUGACGAUACACAGCUUCAGGAGGCAAACUGAGGAACUCGUGGUGACGGAGGCGUGCUAUCAGAAACCUAGAAAAUCCUAUGAAGGACAUGAAAAUAGCCUGUUAAUUUCAAGGGCACUGUAGGAAAGGACAAGCGAUCACUCAAAUAAUCUUUCUUUGUGAAGGACCACCUUUUCAUUGUCUGGGACCCUGCAAAUAUUAAGAUCCAUUCAAUGUUUGUUGUUUGCUUUCAUACAUGUUAAGUUGCACAUAUCAGCUAUGUCAUGAAUGUGUACUUAUUCCUUUAUGUUCCUCUGUCUCGCAUUUUUGCUAAGUUAUAGCCCAGAACCUAGCUCAUUGGCCCAACCAUCCAGCUUCCUUCUGAAUAAAUCUCUCUCUUCAUUUUUAUUCAGGCAAACACUGCUCCUGUUUCCCUAACUGUGAAAAAAAAAAAAGAGUUGCUUUUUGACACCCCGGAAAUUUAGGUGGUGAGUGGGGGGGGGGGGGUAAGGUAAUGUUCAUGAUGUGGUUUUCUAGAAUUAAGAAGCACCAUCACAUCGACAUUGAUUUGUUUAACCCAUGACAUAUUGAGCCUAUAGUACCUGUGACAUUGGUUACUUGAGCUUUUUAAACUGCUACAGUUACCUCAUUUUGCAGAAGGCCAUGCCAGAAGUCCCUGCGGAGUCACGUAUGAAGACCUUGCAUACGUUAGAAACGUGCAAUUCAGUUCUUUUUCACUUGCUUUUGCAGGUGGCAAAUAGGCAAGGUGAAGCGCAAAAGAACUUGAUAGGAUUGUUGACUGCACUGCAAUCUAUAACACAGCGCAAAACAUGUAAAUAUAUACCGGGCAUUCCUGCUGCUUAUAGAUGCCCUUGGCACAAAAUAAUGAACACCGACCACAGAAAUGAGAGUUAUUUCUGGGGUUGGUGCUUGUGAUUCUGUGCCAUGAUCAUUCCCAACCAGACGAGUUUUCGUCAAACCCCAGAUUUCAUAGAUGCCCUUCACCAGAAUUUCCAACAAACACCAGUGGAUGAAGAAUUCACUUUGUAGCUGUAGCCCACUGGAGUCACUUUUAGAGGAAGCUGUCAACAUGCUAAGUGCUCAUGAAAGUUGCUUGUCAACUAUAAGCAGGCAUGGUAAGCAAAAAAACUGAACACCGACCAUGUCUUUUUUUUUCCCCCCAUAUACAAGGCUAGCCAGGGUGCUUCUUCACAAAUGACAAAGUGAACCCUAGUCAAGACGGAGUGUUUUAAGACAUGCUUGAGUGUGAGAGUGCUUUGCGAAAGUGAUUCAUACAGACUUUGAUCAAGUGUACAGAUUUCUCCUCACAGGUUGGUUAAAAUGCCCAGUUUUUAUGUUCUGACCAGCGAUUGAAACUGUACUGGUGAACAGUAAUCCACAGACCGUCUGCAAAACCAAAAAUUGAUUGUUUGCAAAGUGGCCACUUAACCUAAUCUUGCUUCUCCUCACCCUGACUAGCUCGAUUACCUACGUAUUUUUCACAUGCAUGGUGAAAUACUGUGCCUCAGUAACUAUGGCAUUUCUUGAGCACUAGGUUUGGGUCUUUAAUCCAGCUACAGCUGCUGCAAUCUAUUGAGGCGUAGAGCAAAAAUGUGUAUGAAUUCAAAUUUAGCUGAAAAAAAAACCAUAGGUGAGCAAUAUUAGUCCUGAGCUCCUCACUACAGCAUCUCUAAAGCCCAAAUGCAGCUUCUGGACAUUAAGUUUAGUCACUAUCUUUUGCAUCCAAAAAUACAAAGGCACUGUGCUACAGCCAGCCCAUUUUUUUCCACAGGAUUAUUGAUUUCAACCUUGAUAAACCUGUGCUGGCAAUGCUGAAUAGCCCCUAGCCUUAGAUAUUUGCCAUCAUUUAUUUGCUGUAACAGUGCAAAAGCCCUCCACAUUACCCGAAGAAUUGCCAUGUCUACAUUUGAAGUGGACCGUCUACGGAUAGAAUGGUUCAGCUUCGAACUUCGCACAGCAAGAUGGCCUGCAAUGUGAGGCCAUGCUUCAUGCAGCAACACAAAUGGGCACCCGAAAUAAAUAUUUGACUACCUGAGCCAAAACUGUGCAUGCAAAGUUUAUUAAAUGCCUCCCACAGCUGCGUUUGAAAUAUGUCUUCUGUGGGAACUCUCUUCAAGUGGAAAAUGCUAAGUGGACUUUUGUCGUUGAUGGCCUGGUACGACAACAGGAUUGGAAUGCAUACAUGGGGCUUUGAUGGACAUAAUGAAAACGGUGUUGGUAGCAAUCUGCUUUUGAGGCGUACACCCUGUGUAGGUUGUGCGGCCAUGUGCGUCGAGAAACCAGAAACAGCUACGCACAUCGUCAAUCUGUGUGGGGGCUUCUCAGCGCUAAUAAAAGAGGUUGCCAAACUUUCGCAUGCACUCUGCUUUUCUAAAGUGAUGCUUUCUUUGACUACCUCUUUACUUUAUGAGGUAAGUCUACCUCUAACUUAAGUGAUCCUGGAGUAUAAGAAACUGCACCAAUCCUGGAGAUGGUAGAGUCAAAACCAGGCUAUCUUUGAGGCUGUGUAAUCAAAAGUGGUGACUUGGCGGGCCGAUCCUGACAGCAGUGCAAAAUUUUUGACCUUGCAAGAGAUUUAAUGUGGCAGGCCAAUCCUGGAGGCAGCACAAAGAUGUGGGUGUGCCAAUCCUGAUUUCUCAAGUGUUGCAUGUGUGCCUAGCUUCUUUGCCUCUUUCUCCAACUUUGUGUCAGUGUCUUGCCAAGUAGACGUAGCGCAGGGUCUCUCACACAGCUGGGGCAUAGAGAGGAAAAGUAUUAGGAACAGUUGUCACACUAGCAUGAAAGAGUUUGGCAUUGCCUCCUAUGAGUUUGGAGAGGAAGUACUUUAUAGUGGUUGUGG